CUACACAUGCAGUCGAACGAAGUAGCAAUACUUAGUGGCGAACGGGUGAGUAUAAUGUGGGUAUCUGCCUUUUGGUUUGGAAUAACACGGGGAAACUUGUGCUAAUACCGGAUAAGCCUUUACGGGGAAAGUUUUAACGCCAAAAGAUGAGCCCACACUUGAUUAGCUAGUUGGUAAGGUAAUGGCUUACCAAGGCUACGAUCAAUAGCUGAUCUGAGAGGAUGAUCAGCCACAUUGGGACUGAGACACGGCCCAAACUCCUACGGGAGGCAGCAGUGGGGAAUCUUGCACAAUGGGGGAAACCCUGAUGCAGCGAUGCCGCGUGAGUGAAGAAGGCCCUUGGGUUGUAAAGCUCUUUCGUCGGGGAAGAAAAUGACUGUACCCGAAUAAGAAGGUCCGGCUAACUUCGUGCCAGCAGCCGCGGUAAUACGAAGGGACCUAGCGUAGUUCGGAAUUACUGGGCUUAAAGAGCUCGUAGGUGGUUAGAAAAGUUGGUGGUGAAAUCCCAAGGCUUAACCUUGGAACUGCCACCAAAACUUUUUGACUAGAGUAUGAUAGAGGAAAGUGGAAUUUCUAGUGUAGAGGUGAAAUUCGUAGAUAUUAGAAAGAACACCAAUUGCGAAGGCAACUUUCUGGAUCAUUACUGACACUGAGGAGCGAAAGCAUGGGUAGCGAAGAGGAUUAGAUACCCUCGUAGUCCAUGCCGUAAACGAUGUGUGCUAGACGUUGGGAACUUUAGUUCUCAGUGUCGCAGCAAAAGCGUUAAGCACACCGCCUGGGGAGUACGACCGCAAGGUUAAAACUCAAAUGAAUUGACGGGGACCCGCACAAGUAGUGGAGCAUGUGGUUUAAUUCGAAGAUACGCGCAGAACCUUACCAACACUUGACAUGUUCGUCGCGACUCUAGAGAUUAGAGUUUUCGGUUCGGCCGGACGAAACACAGGUGCUGCAUGGCUGUCGUCAGCUCGUGUCGUGAGAUGU
rnacentral:rRNA from 1 species